rnacentral:rRNA from 1 species
GAAUAUUGGACAAUGGGGGCAACCCUGAUCCAGCCAUGCCGCGUGUGUGAAGAAGGCCUUUUGGUUGUAAAGCCCUUUAAGCCGUGAAGAAAACUCCAUGGUUAAUACCCAUGGACGAUGACAUUAGCUCCAGAAUAAGCACCGGCUACCUCUGCGCCAGCAGCCGCGGUAAUACCGAGGGUGCAAGCGUUAAUCGGAAUUACUGGGCGUACAGCGAGCGUAGGUGGCUGGAUAAGUCAGAUGUGAAAUCCCCGGGCUUAACCUGGGAACUGCAUCUGAUACUGUUAGGCUAGAAUAGGUGAGAGGAAGGUAGAAUUCCAGGUGUAGCGGUGAAAUGCGUAGAGAUCUGGAGGAAUACCGAUGGCGAAGGCAGCCUUCUGGCAUCAUAUUGACACUGAGGUUCGAAAGCGUGGGUAGCAAAC